rnacentral:rRNA from 1 species
UACGUAGGUGGCGAGCGUUGUCCGGAAUUAUUGGGCGUAAAGAGCUCGUAGGCGGUCUGUCGCGUCGGCUGUGAAAACCUGGGGCUUAACUCCGGGCCUGCAGCCGAUACGGGCAGACUAGAGUUCGGCAGGGGAGAACUGGAAUUCCUGGUGUAGCGGUGAAAUGCGCAGAUAUCAGGAGGAACACCGGUGGCGAAGGCGGGUCUCUGGGCCGAAACUGACGCUGAGGAGCGAAAGCGUGGGGAGCAAACAGG